GCGGUCUGCGCCGGCAGCCGCCGUGGCACCGAGUCCGGCGUAGGUGUGCGAGGCGGGGUGGCUUUCCCUGCGCGGUAGAGGGGGUGUGCACGUGGCUCGAGUGCCGUAAUAAGAGUGUAGCUCUGGUAGUGUAAGUUAACCCCUUUUUGAAGUAACUUGGUUUUGGAAGACAUGGUGUAUGCCGGCUGGGGUGCGGGCAGCUCACGCUGGUUUUGUUUCGUUUGUAUUAUUUGCGAGCUAAGGAUAGACAAAAGGCCUUCCCAAGGCUGCCAGCAGGGUAGGAAGAAGUCUACUAGCUCCAUACUUUUAUUAUCACCUGACCGUUGUCACAAAAAACCGAAAGAAACAAACAAAAAAAACCCCAAAACCCGCACAAAAGCCAUCUAAAAGCAAAACCAGGAAAUGCUACUCCUUUCAAUGCCCCCGGACUGCUGUCAACUGCAAGCAGCCAUCAAUGCAUUCAGUGCUUGUGCAUGAAAGAUCGCUCAGCCGUGUUGGCAGACAGAAGCUAAACCAGCACAAAAAUCCCAAAGUUCAGGAGUGAACAGUGGCUUUAGAAUGCAUCCCUCUAGUGCUGCACAGCCUGGGCUUUUGGAAUAGUAGGUCCUCAUUCAGCUGUGCUGUGGCCAGGUGAAAGGCUGCCUUGUAGCUGCAGCCCAGCCUUUAUUUCAGCAGAAGCUGCAGUAACUGCAAUGUUGAGGUUGGAAAGAGACAAUCUAAAACCAGAAGGAUUUGUCCAGAUUCCAUGAAAUAAGUGAACCAUUGGAUGGUUCUGCUUCAUCAUCUGCUGACUAAUGCACAGUCCACCUUUUCUUUCUGCAGCCAGAAGAAAAAACUCUUAACCCACUGACCUUCAUCAUUCUUACUUGGUAACAUUCACAUCUAACACAACUUGAAACUUCAGCUUGUGGUCUCAUUCAAAGAGUUGUGGUCAACUCCUCAGUGUCCAAGCUGAGACCUGUGAUGUUCCUCAGGGAUUGUUGAGACUGGUGCUGUUUAACAUCAUUGUCAGAGACAUGGACAGUGGGAUCAAGUGCACCCUCAGCAAGCCUGCUCGUGACACAGAGCUCUGUGGUGCAGCCGACAUGCUUGAGGGAAGGGAUGCCACCCAGAGGCAUCUGGACAGGCCUGAGAGUUCCCAGCUUGAGCUAAAAAACUAACCACUCUGUAUUGAUGAUAAAAGUAUCAGAAGAUUGUUUGGAAACAACAGUUUCACAGGACUGUAUAACAACAUCAGUGUAACAGAGACCUCCUCUAUAUAUUUGAACCUAUUGGUCAGUGACUGCUUAAUGCGAUCACUUCCUGAUGCUGAAGGUCUGAUGUCAUCUUCCAAGUGACUUAUGCAAUCAGCAGCGCAGACUGAGGAAAUGGGAGGGUGAAUUUGGGAAGUCAAGUUGACAAGAAAUUGACAGGAAGCUGACGCUGUGCUGAUAAAGGAAAGUAAGGCAGGCUUUGCAGUCUGUGCCAAGUUCAGUAGCUUCACUGCUGUACUGCUUGCAGGCCACCUAUAUAA